CAGCAGCCACGGUAAUACGUAGGUCCCGAGCGCUGACCGGAUUUAUUGGGCGUAAAGCGAGCGCAGGCGGUUAGAUAAGUCUGAAGUUAAAGGCUGUGGCUUAACCAUAGUACGCUUUGGAAACUGUUUAACUUGAGUGCAGAAGGGGAGAGUGGAAUUCCAUGUGUAGCGGUGAGAUGCGUAGAUAUAUGGAGGAACACCGGUGGCGAAAGCGGCUCUCUGGUCUGUAACUGACGCUGAGGCUCGAAAGCGUGGGGAGCAAACAGGAUUAGAUACCCCAGUAGUCCCUGUCUCUUAUACA
rnacentral:rRNA from 1 species